GAUGAACGCUGGCGGCGUGCCUAAUACAUGCAAGUCGAGCGAACGGACGAGAAGCUUGCUUUUCUGAUGUUAGCGGCGGACGGGUGAGUAACACGUGGAUAACCUACCUAUAAGACUGGGAUAACUUCGGGAAACCGGAGCUAAUACCGGAUAAUAUUUUGAACCGCAUGGUUCAAAAGUGAAAGACGGUCUUGCAGUCACUUAUAGAUGGAUCCGCGCUGCAUUAGCUAGUUGGUAAGGUAACGGCUUACCAAGGCAACGAUGCAUAGCCGACCUGAGAGGGUGAUCGGCCACACUGGAACUGAGACACGGUCCAGACUCCUACGGGAGGCAGCAGUAGGGAAUCUUCCGCAAUGGGCGAAAGCCUGACGGAGCAACGCCGCGUGAGUGAUGAAGGUCUUCGGAUCGUAAAACUCUGUUAUUAGGGAAGAACAUAUGUGUAAGUAACCGUGCACAUCUUGACGGUACCUAAUCAAAAAGCCACGGCUAACUACGUG
rnacentral:rRNA from 1 species